GGGUCCGUAGCUCAGCUUGGUAGAGCAACUGGCUCUUAACCAGUAGGUCGCGGGUUCGAAUCUUUAUUGAGAAAAUCCCGUCGGGCCCA
rnacentral:tRNA from 1 species